GCCUAACUGUCUUCAUACCCCCAGGCCAUCUCUGAACUUCCAUCCACCCGAAGUCAGUUCACCCAGAAUCAGAAGGACCAUUGUCUCUCUAAUUGUGUGACUCAAUUCUCCUGCUCUUUUAGGAGUCUUGAAAUGAACGCACAUACAUUUCUCUCACAAACUAACACUUAACACCCCAUAGCCUAUAUCAGGUGACAUAAAAAUGAAUAUACCAGAAUUACGCUGUAUCAAACUUUUUGCCAUAAUACUUUAAAUCAAUUUCCACACCCUCCAAUCAAGAGUUCUCUCUCAGCUGGAUGUGCUAUCUGACAAACUUCUGAAGGUUUUUGAGAAGAGAGGAGGACAGAUAGGCCAACGUCUGAACUGUAUUAUGUCAAACAUGACUCAAGUUGAUGUCGAUUUAGGCCGGGAUUGUCUUCUCAAGGGGCUGUGUGUGUACCUCUGUGUGUGUACCUCUGUGUGUGCACCUCAAUGAGAGAGUUUGUGGCAGAAGAUGAAGACGUCAUUCUACGGUCCAUUGAGGGGAUUACAGUGGGCCUUUAUGUUGUCAAACACAAUUCCACCAUGAGACCAGAGGACAGAUGAGACCAGAGGACAGAUGAGACCAGAGGACAGAUUGUCCUGGAAGACCAACAGGUAGCCUACUAACUGAUGUGGACAACAUUGCAUUAGCUGCUACCAUGCUGUUUGGACUAAUGUCUGCAAUAAACCUGAACUACCCCCCUAAACUGAAGUGCACGUUCGAAGUGCUCCAGCAAAUGUUAAUGGAGCUAGACGGCAACAUGCUCUCCAAGAAAGCCCAAGCGUUUAAAAACAAACUGUUUGAGUGAGCUGUUGCCAUGGACCAUUGUGCACUUUACAGCAUUCAUACUGGACUUUCAUCGAUACAACUGUCUUGCACUUCCUUUGCUCAUGCUUUUUGCUUGAUUUGCAUGUUUCAGAAAUGUGUGUUUUUCCUGGGGUCAUGUGUUUUCAGAAUGUACCACUUGUCAUGUGUUUCAGAAUGUACUAAUUGCGCUACUUCAAAAUGUCAGUUCUUGUUUUUAUUUGCAAUACUUUCUUUAGUGCAUAUGUGGUGAGAAACCAGGCCAUUUUUAUACUUUCAUGUAUUUUUCCAAAGCAAUGCCAUUGCUUUUUUUGCAUUAAAGUGCCCUUUCAUAUUAGCAGGUUACUAUUUAAAUAAUGGAUUUGCAAGAACAUUUCCUUUUUUCGGCUAGGCGUUGACAUUUUCUGUUAAUUGUUUACUAUAAAUGAGUUACAAAAAUAAGCCUUUCUUUGCCAUCUGGCCCAAUAAACCUUUAUUUUGGUCGGGAGAAUAGUUUCCUUUAAGCUUCCUUGCUGUGUUCUAACACAAUAAUGUACAUGCAUCACAAACUUUUUCUAUUUCUUCUAUUUCUUUAUUUUCAAUGUAUUUGUUAAUUCUCCUGGGGCUGCAUGAUGGAAAAACCAAAAGCUCAUCUGGAUGUGUGGUGGUUGUUAAUAUUGUAUUAUUUUUUGAGAAAAAUACAUGAAUGUUGUUCAAAGAAAUGUGUUUGUCUUUAUUGAUUAUUUGUUUUAAAAUCUUGUGAUAAAUGCUGUAGAUAUAAGAGAUUAGGAUGGAUCCUGUAGAAGAAUGUACGAAAUGCCUCUAUUCACAUGAAAUAAAUAAUCUUAUGUA